AACGAACGCUGGCGGCAGGCUUAACACAUGCAAGUCGAGCGCCCCGCAAGGGGAGCGGCAGACGGGUGAGUAACGCGUGGGGAUCUACCCACCCCUACGGAAUAGCUCCGGGAAACUGGAAUUAAUACCGUAUACGCCCUACGGGGGAAAGAUUUAUCGGGGUGGGAUGAGCCGGCGUUGGAUUAGCUGGUUGGUGGGGUAAAGGCCUACCAAGGCGACGAUCCAUAGCUGGUCUGUGAGGCUGAUCAGCCACAUUGGGACUGAGACACGGCCGAAACUCCUACGGGAGGCAGCAGUGGGGAAUAUUGGACAAUGGGGGCAACCCUGAUCCAGCCAUGCCGCGUGAGUGAUGAAGGCCUUGGGGUUGUAAAGCGCUUUCACCGGGGAAGAGAAUGACGGUACCCGGAGAAGAAGCCCCGGCUAACUUCGUGCCAGCCGCCGCCGUAA
rnacentral:rRNA from 1 species